GGGCGCAUAGCUCAGUUGGUAGAGCAAUUCCCUUUUAAGGAAUGGGUCGCAGGUUCGAAUCCUGCUGCGCUCACCA
rnacentral:tRNA from 3 species